AAGUAAAAGUCGUAACAAGGUUUCCGUAGGUGAACCUGCGGAAGGAUCAUUAAAUUGGCCGCUGGGAGCUGCAAGCCUGUAAAAGGGUGAACAGUCUUAGUGCUUAUCAGUAUACUUCUUUACCGAAGGAACUUUUUAAGCACUAUUACCCCGGUGUAUAUUUUAUACCCUGUCUUUUUUACUUUAGUUGCCUUGGUGGGCCGUCUAGUACAGCAUCAGUUCCGGCUGAUUGUGCCCACCAGAGGACCCAAACCCUUUUAUUAGUGAUGUCUGAGUACUAUUUAAUAGUUAAAACUUUCAACAACGGAUCUCUUGGUUCUGGCAUCGAUGAAGAACGCAGCGAAAUGCGAUAAGUAAUGUGAAUUGCAGAAUUCAGUGAAUCAUCGAAUCUUUGAACGCACAUUGCGCCCGCUGGUACUCCGGCGGGCAUGCCUGUUCGAGCGUCAUUUUGACCAAUCAAGCUCUGCUUGGCCUUGGGGCAUGCUAUACCAGCGGCCCUUAAAAUCAGUGGCGGUGCCGUUUAGCUCUAAGCGCAGUAAUUUUUCUCGCUAUAGUGUUAGGUGUCCACCCGCUAGAACCCCCCAACUCCUCAAGGGUUGACCUCGGAUCAGGUAGGGAUACCCGCUGAACUUAAGCAUA
rnacentral:rRNA from 1 species